UACAGGGGGUGCAAACGUUGCUCGGAAUCAUUGGGCGUAAAGGGCGCGUAGGCGGCCUUCUAAGUCAGACGUGAAAUCCCCCGGCUUAACCUGGGAACUGCGUCUGAUACUGGAGGGCUUGAGUGCGGGAGAGGGAUGUGGAAUUCCAGGUGUAGCGGUGAAAUGCGUAGAUAUCUGGAGGAACACCGGUGGCGAAGGCGGCAUCCUGGACCGACACUGACGCUGAGGCGCGAAAGCUAGGGUAGCAAACGGG
rnacentral:rRNA from 1 species